rnacentral:rRNA from 1 species
AUGGUUAAGUUAGAAAGGGCGCACGGUGAAUGCCUUGGCACUAGGAGCCGAUGAAGGACGGGACUAACACCGAUAUGCUUCGGGGAGCUGUAAGUGAGCUUUGAUCCGGAGAUUUCCGAAUGGGGAAACCCACUGUUCGUAAUGGAACAGUAUCUUUAUCUGAAUACAUAGGAUAUUGAAGGCAGACCCGGGGAACUGAAACAUCUAAGUACCCGGAGGAAGAGAAAGCAAAUGCGAUUUCCUGAGUAGCGGCGAGCGAAACGGAAUUAGCCCAAACCAAGAGGCUUGCCUCUUGGGGUUGUAGGACACUCUAUACGGAGUUACAAAGGAACGAAGUAAAUGAAGCGACCUGGAAAGGUCCGUCGAAGAAGGUAACAACCCUGUAGUUGAAACUUCGUUCCCUCUUGAGUGGAUCCUGAGUACGGCGGAACACGUGAAAUUCCGUCGGAAGCUGGGAGGACCAUCUCCCAAGGCUAAAUACUACCUAGUGACCGAUAGUGAACCAGUACCGUGAGGGAAAGGUGAAAAGCACCCCGGAAGGGGAGUGAAAGAGAUCCUGAAACCGUGUGCCUACAAGUAGUCAGAGCCCGUUAACGGGUGAUGGCGUGCCUUUUGUAGAAUGAACCGGCGAGUUACGAUCCCAUGCAAGGUUAAGCUGAUAAGGCGGAGCCGUAGCGAAAGCGAGUCUGAAUAGGGCGUUUAGUAUGUGGUUGUAGACCCGAAACCAGGUGAUCUACCCAUGUCCAGGGUGAAGUUCAGGUAACACUGAAUGGAGGCCCGAACCCACGCACGUUGAAAAGUGCGGGGAUGAGGUGUGGGUAGCGGAGAAAUUCCAAUCGAACCUGGAGAUAGCUGGUUCUCUCCGAAAUAGCUUUAGGGCUAGCCUCAUGUUGUGAGAGUCUUGGAGGUAGAGCACUGAUUGGACUAGGGGCCCCCAACGGGUUACCGAAUUCAGUCAAACUCCGAAUGCCAAAGACUUAUCCAUGGGAGUCAGACUGCGAGUGAUAAGAUCCGUAGUCAAAAGGGAAACAGCCCAGACCACCAGCUAAGGUCCCCAAGUAUACGUUAAGUGGAAAAGGAUGUGGAGUUGCUUAGACAACCAGGAUGUUGGCUUAGAAGCAGCCACCAUUUAAAGAGUGCGUAAUAGCUCACUGGUCGAGUGACUCUGCGCCGAAAAUGUACCGGGGCUAAACGUAUCACCGAAGCUGUGGAUUGACAUCUUAGAUGUCAGUGGUAGGAGAGCGUUCUAAGUGCAGCGAAGUCAGACCGUAAGGACUGGUGGAGCGCUUAGAAGUGAGAAUGCCGGUAUGAGUAGCGAAAGACAAGUGAGAAUCUUGUCCACCGAAUGCCUAAGGUUUCCUGAGGAAGGCUCGUCCGCUCAGGGUUAGUCGGGACCUAAGCCGAGGCUGAAAAGCGUAGGCGAUGGCCAACAGGUUGAUAUUCCUGUACCACCUCCCCGCCGUUUGAGUAAUGGGGGGACGCAGUAGGAUAGGGUAAGCGCGCUGCUGGAUAUGCGCGUUCAAGCAGUUAGGCUGAUGAGUAGGCAAAUCCGCUCAUCAUAAAGGCUGAGCUGUGAUGACGAGGGAAUUAUAGUACCGAAGUUCCUGAUUCCACACUGCCAAGAAAAGCCUCUAGCGAGGCGGGAGGUGCCCGUACCGCAAACCGACACAGGUAGGCGAGGAGAGAAUCCUAAGGUGAUCGAGAGAACUCUCGUUAAGGAACUCGGCAAAAUGACCCCGUAACUUCGGGAGAAGGGGUGCUCUGGUAGGGUGUAUAGCCCGAGAGAGCCGCAGUGAAUAGGCCCAGGCGACUGUUUAGCAAAAACACAGGUCUCUGCGAAGCCGCAAGGCGAAGUAUAGGGGCUGACGCCUGCCCGGUGCUGGAAGGUUAAGAGGAGGGGUUAUCCUUUGGGAGAAGCUCUGAAUCGAAGCCCCAGUAAACGGCGGCCGUAACUAUAACGGUCCUAAGGUAGCGAAAUUCCUUGUCGGGUAAGUUCCGACCCGCACGAAAGGCGUAACGAUCUGGGCACUGUCUCAACGAGAGACUCGGUGAAAUUAUAGUACCUGUGAAGAUGCAGGUUACCCGCGACAGGACGGAAAGACCCCGUGGAGCUUUACUGUAGCCUGAUAUUGAAUUUUGGUACAGCUUGUACAGGAUAGGUAGGAGCCUGAGAAGCCGGAGCGCUAGCUUCGGUGGAGGCGUCGGUGGGAUACUACCCUGGCUGUAUUGAAAUUCUAACCCGCGGCCCUGAUCGGGCCGGGAGACAGUGUCAGGUGGGCAGUUUGACUGGGGCGGUCGCCUCCUAAAAUGUAACGGAGGCGCCCAAAGGUUCCCUCAGAAUGGUUGGAAAUCAUUCGUAGAGUGUAAAGGCACAAGGGAGCUUGACUGCGAGACCUACAAGUCGAGCAGGGACGAAAGUCGGGCUUAGUGAUCCGGUGGUUCCGCAUGGAAGGGCCAUCGCUCAACGGAUAAAAGCUACCCCGGGGAUAACAGGCUUAUCUCCCCCAAGAGUCCACAUCGACGGGGAGGUUUGGCACCUCGAUGUCGGCUCAUCGCAUCCUGGGGCUGUAGUCGGUCCCAAGGGUUGGGCUGUUCGCCCAUUAAAGCGGUACGCGAGCUGGGUUCAGAACGUCGUGAGACAGUUCGGUCCCUAUCCGUCGUGGGCGUAGGAAAUUUGAGAGGAGCUGUCCUUAGUACGAGAGGACCGGGAUGGACACACCGCUGGUGUACCAGUUGUCUUGCCAAAGGCAUCGCUGGGUAGCUAUGUGUGGACGGGAUAAGUGCUGAAAGCAUCUAAGCAUGAAGCCCCCCUCAAGAUGAGAUUUCCCAUAGCGCAAGCUAGUAAGAUCCCUGAAAGAUGAUCAGGUUGAUAGGUCAGAGGUGGAAGCGUGGCGACAUGUGUAGCUGACUGAUACUAAUCGAUCGAGGACUUAACCAAAA